UUCGAGUUAGUGGGUCUUUACUGUAUUAAUGAUCAUACAUAAACAUGUCAGGGUCGUGAGGUCGAGUUAGUGGGGCUUUACUGUAUUAAUGAUCAUACAUAAACAUGUCAGGGUCGUGAGGUCGAGUUAGUGGGGCUUUACUGUAUUAAUGAUCAUACAUAAACAUGUUAGGGUCGUGAGGUCGAGUUAGUGGGGCUUUACUGUAUUAAUGAUCAUACAUAAACAUGUCAGAGUCGUGAGGUCGAGUUAGUGGGGCUUUACUGUAUUAAUGAUCAUACAUAAACAUGUCAGGGUCGUGAGGUCGAGUUAGUGGGGCUUUACUGUAUUAAUGAUCAUACAUAAACAUGUCAGUCGUGAGGUCGAGUUAGAGGGGCUUUACUGUAUUAAUGAUCAUA